UCUGUAUUGCUAUCUGACAUUUACAUCAUUAUUAUGACAUGACACCAACCACUGCCUCGAUUCAAGCAGUUACCAUCUAACUAGUGUGGUAAAUAGCCUACACAGUUGUUAGCUACGUAGUACACCGUGAGCUAGCUAGCCAUAUUGAGUUGCCCGGCAAAGCCGUCCACACCAUCUGACCUCAGUGCUCGUCUCUUGGCUCCGGGAAUGUGGACAGGUCUCUCGGGGAGAAAAGGCUCCCUCCGUGCUAAAGUUGGCUAACGGCACAAGUCCUCCUCUACUGUAAUGGUGAGGGUGAACACUGAGCAGCAUCCACUUAUGACAGUGGAUCUCACAGAUCACGUUUCUGGCCCAGGGAUUUCCCCAUACACCCUGCGUGGAUGGGGGUACUCUGUGUGCAGCUCCCCCAGACGUUUUCUCUACAAUCACUGUGACUCAGCUGUCUCUACACCACCCUAAUAGGCUACUACUACUACACCCCCAGCCAAGUGGCCAGAGCAGGCUCUAAAGUGAGAACGUUACACAAUGCUGGCAUCACAUUACAUUAUCGAAAGAAGAGGUUGACCAGGUUCUUUGCCCUGACAUUCAGCUGGACAGCCGGGCCAUGGAGAAGAUGGCGUCCAAUCUGCUCGUCUUGAAUGGAGGCUUGGUGGUCCAGCUCGACGCCAUCCUGCAGUGUCACGAGGACACAGAGCCAGGGUCUUCCGCGGUUUCGAGAAGGUGCCUUCCUAUCCCCUGCACCCGGCCGUCUCGCUCAGGGAGCCGGAGAGCAGGAUGACCUUCAGAUGAUGAGGUCAAGGGGCUAUGCCAUGGUGAUGCUUCAGCUCAGAAAAUGGAGAGUAGUCCUGGAAGUGGAAUUAUUAGAAAGAACAUUCCAUUCAAGUCGUAUGUUCUGUGAUGGAUCUAUUUCUAUGAGGAAAUCUGUCAUUUAAGAGGGUUUCAGAGGAGAGUUUCUAUGUCAUCCCCUGUAGGUCACAGAAGGAGUGCACAUGGAGAGUUGAUGGAUUAAUGUUUGGAUUUGCAUAAACAAAUACAACCUAAAUAAAUGAGAUUGAUACGCUUCAUGUAUUUAUUUACAUUUUUACUUAAGACUGUAAAGUAUAAUGGCUAAGGAUAGCUAUAAAGUACAUACAAUUAAAUUAAAGUACUUUUUUCUGCAGUGGGCUAAAUCAGAGUGUUAAGGGAUUUUUUAAAAUCUAUAAUGACUAAUUAUGUAUACAUUUCAAUCAGGAUGUACUAAUCAGAAUACUAUUAUGUUAUUGUAUAUGUACUAAUCAGAAUACUAUUAUGUUACUGUAUAUGUACUAAUCAGAAUACUAUUAUGUUACUGUAUAUGUAUGAAUUUUCUUUCUUGAUCCCAGUACUGAAUAUAAUGUGUGUGAAUGUGGUCAAGAGUUAGAACAAUGACUAUCUGUUCCUUGGUACAAAUGAAUCAGACUGGCUAGAAUGCUUAUCUACACGAGAAAACCUUGACUCGUAAAUGAUAUUAAAUUGGUAGGGAGACGGAUGUGGGAAGGCUUGAGAUACAGCCUUUGUACUGGAACGGAGAUGGCACGGGUUGGGGCUGAAACUAAGGACGUCAUUUUCAGUUUAUAACCUGUGGUAAACUGUAUCGUAUUCGGUACUCUCGUGAAUAAAGGCUGCUAUUUGACUUUAA